UAAGGAAUAUUGCGCAAUGGACGAAAGUCUGACGCAGCGACGCCGCGUGGGGGAUGAAGGUCUUCGGAUUGUAAACCCCUUUCGGGAGGGAAGAUGGAGUGGGUAACCACUUGGACGGUACCUCCAGAAGCAGCCACGGCUAACUUCGUGCCAGCAGCCGCGGUAAUACGAAGGUGGCAAGCGUUGUUCGGAUUCACUGGGCGUACAGGGAGCGUAGGCGGUUGGGUAAGCCCUCCGUGAAAUCUCCGGGCCUAACCCGGAAAGUGCAGAGGGGACUGCCGGGCUAGAGGACGGGAGAGGAGCGCGGAAUUCCCGGUGUAGCGGUGAAAUGCGUAGAGAUCGGGAGGAAGGCCGGUGGCGAAGGCGGCGCUCUGGAACGUUUCUGACGCUGAGGCUCGAAAGCGUGGGGAGCAAACAGGAUUAGAUACCCCAGUAGUCCCUGAGCGGGCUGGCAAGGCGCAU
rnacentral:rRNA from 1 species